GACGGAGGAUGCAAGCGUUGUCCGGAAUUAUUGGGCGUAAAGGGCUCGUAGGCGGUUUGUCGCGUAGGGAGUGAAAACGCCGUGCUUAACACGGCGCUUGCUUCCGAUACGGGCAGACUAGAGGUAUGCAGGGGAGAACGGAAUUCCUGGUGUAGCGGUGAAAUGCGCAGAUAUCAGGAGGAACACCGGUGGCGAAGGCGGUUCUCUGGGCAUUACCUGACGCUGAGGAGCGAAAGUGUGGGGAGCGAACAGG
rnacentral:rRNA from 1 species